CCAGCCACCAUGAAUUACGGCUCGAUGCAGCAAUGCAAAGCAAGGUCCACGUGCUGCUUUCAAUGCAUACAAGGAGUUUGUGCAGAAGGACACUACAGCUCUCUUCUUGGCUGCGGCAAUGGAGCACUUUGGACUACAGAAUGUGUCAGAUGUCCCAGACGGAUUCAUCCCAGACCACAUCUUAACUGGUCCACUAAAGGACAAAAGGACCUGGCUGCAUGGUGUAGUCUCCCAAAUUGUAGACAAAUUUGUCAUAUUUGAGGACAUUUCUGACAUUGUCAGCGGUGUAACAGAUACAGCCAGUGGCCUGCCCCAACAGGGAGAGA